GGAGGUCACCGCCGGCACCAUUGGACUCACCGAGGUCUGAACUAUCAGACCUAGGCUUCCCCGUCGUCAUUGACUGAAGUCCAGUCACCGUUGACCGGCAGGGGCAAUUCGAUAAAUUCAUAAAACUUUAGGGUGAAUUUGUAAUUUAUGGAAUCAGUGGAUAAUUUGGUAAUUUUAGGUUAGGGCAGUGAGGUAAUUUGAGAUUUCGAGGGUAAUUCGGUAAUUUAAGUCGUUAAGGACAUUUUGGUAAUUUUACGUGCCGAGGGUAAUUUCGUAAUUUCUGACAUUGUGGUAAUUUCGUGAUCUGAAUUGAGGACAAUUUAGUAAUUGAAGAUUCUGAGGAUAAUUUUGGUAAAAUAAUGAUGUUGGGGGCAUUUUGGUAAUUUUGGCAUGUAG
rnacentral:lncRNA from 1 species